CACAACCAUUUACGUUGAAUGUUCUUCUGUCCUAAGAGAACCUAUCCUAAGAGAGGACCUAAUAGCAUUUUUGGCAUGAAGGGUUGGAUAGUACCGGAAGGUAUUAAACGGACCAGAAAUAGCUAAAGUUUUGUUCAUUAUGCUGUCGAGUCAUCUUUUAUUACUUGAUAACAAACUUGCUCUCGUAUUAAAGCCAAAGUUAAACUAGUGAUAUGAAGCAACUUACAUUGCUUGCAAGCUUGACCACUAUAGCUUGAAUGUAAUUCUUGUACUUUGUUCGCAGCAGGACCGUCACAGCAUUCAUCUGCUCCCCAAAGGUAGAUUUAUGAUCUCCAUUUACAGGCAUAUGAUCUCCAUUUACAGGCAAAUAGGAGUUCCAUGACUUC
rnacentral:lncRNA from 1 species